UAUGAAAACUGGUGUGCUGCAGAUCC
rnacentral:piRNA from 1 species